GACGAACGCUGGCGGCGUGCUUAACACAUGCAAGUCGAGCGGUAAGGCCCUUUCGGGGGUACGACGAGCGGCGAACGGGUAGGAGUAACAACGUGGGUGGACCUCGCCCUCCAGCUCUGGGAGUAAAGCCUCGGGAAACCGGGGUACCGUAAUAACCGGAUAUGACUCCAUGACGCAUGUUGUGGGGUGGAAAGCCUUGUGCGGCUGAGGAGUGGGCCCGCGGCCUAUCAGCUUGUUGGUGGGGUGAUGGCCUACCAAGGCGACGACGGGUAGCCGGCCUGAGAGGGCGACCGGCCACACUGGGACUGAGACACGGCCCAGACUCCUACGGGAGGCGAGCAGUGGGGAAUCUUGCGCAAUGGGCGAAAGCCUGACGCAGCGACGCCGCGUGAGGGAUGACGGCC
rnacentral:rRNA from 1 species